rnacentral:rRNA from 1 species
GAGUUUGAUCCUGGCUCAGGAUAACGCUGGCGGCGUGCUUAAUACAUGCAAGUCGAACGGAGACAUUAUAGCAAUAUGAUGCUUAGUGGCGAACGGGUGAGUAACGCGUUGGUGACCUGCCCCGAAGUGGGGGAUAACAGUCGAAAGGGCUGCUAAUACCCCAUGUUGUCAUGAGGGUUAGAGGCCUUGUGACUAAAGGGUAAUUCGCUUCGGGAGGGGCCUGCGUCCCAUCAGCUAGUUGGUAGGGUAAUGGCCUACAAGGCUACGACGGGUAGGGGGCCUGAGAGGGUGACCCCCCACACUGGCACUGAAACACGGCCAGACACCUACGGGUGGCAGCAGUAGGGAAUAUUGCACAAUGGGCGAAAGCCUGAUGAGCAACGCCGCGUGCACGAUGAAGGUCUUCGGAUCGUAAAGUGCUUUUCGGGGAGAUGAGAAGGACAGUAUCCCCGGAAUAAGGAUCGGCUAACUACGUGCCAGCAGCCGCGGUAAU